rnacentral:rRNA from 1 species
AUGGCGGCGGCUGAGUGGUGGUGCUGGCCGCUGCCGGCGUGGCUGGGCUCCGGCGCGGCGUGGUUCGUGGCCCUCAACCUCGUGGUGGGCGCUAUCUUCGCCCUGUCCUCCCGUGCGCAGCCGCAGUCGCCGUCGCCGCGCCGCGGCGGGAGCGGGAGCGGGAUCACGCGCAGGGCCUCGUCGGCGGUGCUGCACCGCAUCCGCUCCUUCAACAUCUUCUCCUUCCCGUCCUCGGAACCGAGCCCGGGCGCCACCGCCACCGCCACCUUCCGCGAAGCAGAGGACGCGGCGACGGCGAGGACGAGGUCGCCAUCGACGCCGCGUCCACCACAACCACAGGCGGCGAUAGAGGAGGAGGACGUGGAAGACGAGAGCUCGAUGAGCAUGGACGAGGCGUACGCGCUCGUCCUAGCGGGGCGGCAGCGGGCGGCGCCGACGGAGGAGGAGGCGGCCGGGUCCGAGGUGGACGCCAAGGCGGAGGAGUUCAUCCAGGGGUUCAAGGAGGACCUCAGGCAGCAGCGCCUCAAAUCCAUCUUCAACUACACCCAGAUGCUCAAGCGCCGCGUUGCCGCCGGCCGGCCGCCUGCCGCUCCGUGA